UUCUCGCCUUGACUCCUUUAAUUCUGGUUCCACGAGAUAGUAAUUUUGUAACGUUACCAAGGACACACGUUACAAGGUUACUCAUUGUGCGUGUAAUGCGAGCAAACCUGCCUUCUACUACGGGUGUACACUAUGUUCAAGUGUAACGUACUAACGUUUCAGUAUACCGGUCGCAAACGAAUUCAGUGCGUUUGCAGUUCCUGACUUGGAGGAUAUUGAGACAUUUUUUGCCCCCUUCUGUAGGUACAAGAUCUGUCUGGAAAGUCGAUGCGGAUUCAAAUAAAUUUUUUCAGAAUUAGACAUUAGUGUCUCAUGAUUAAGUACAAGUUGAUUGAACUUUGAGUGGAACUAGAUGUGGCAAGUCAGGAGUCAAAUUUGCUGAAACGUAUCGAAUCUAAUGGUCGAAAUAAUCGUGUCGAGUGAAAUUCGUCCGGUGAAACUGUAUCAAAUAGCUGUAAUUAGAGUAGAGUGGAAAUGUUUCUAUUAAAUUGAAUCAAGUAUUCGAAAUUCGACUCCGAGAGCUCGUAUUAUCGCCCAAAGUAGUCGAAAUUCGACUCCAAAAAUGAUUCCUUUCAUCAUCCAUAGUUGCAGUAGAAUUAGCUUUGUCUAACAAGUUCUUGAAACGGAAGUACAAAAUGUGACUAGUCUGUAUAUGGAAUUUUUUAUGUAUCUUUGUGUUUAAAAUUUUUUUAAGGUAAAAUUACCUUAAUUACCUAUGUUGUUUAUAGAUAUCGACUCGAGUUUCUAUUUCUUUUAAUGAAUGUUUUCCAACUUGCUCUUUUAUACGACGAUUAUAUCGAACGAGUAUCGAUAGA